rnacentral:rRNA from 1 species
UGGGGAAUUGUUCGCAAUGGGCGCAAGCCUGACGACGCAACGCCGCGUGGGGGAUGAAGGUCUUCGGAUUGUAAACCCCUGUCGAACGGGACGAAUGGCCCCUGAGUUAAUACCUUGGGGGAUUGACGGUACCGUUAAAGGAAGCCACGGCUAACUCUGUGCCAGCAGCCGCGGUAAUACAGAGGUGGCAAGCGUUGUUCGGAAUUACUGGGCGUAAAGGGCGCGUAGGCGGCCUUCUAAGUCAGACGUGAAAUCCCCCGGCUCAACCUGGGAACUGCGUCUGAUACUGGAUGGCUUGAGUGCGGGAGAGGGAUGCGGAAUUCCAGGUGUAGCGGUGAAAUGCGUAGAUAUCUGGAGGAACACCGGUGGCGAAGGCGGCAUCCUGGACCGACACUGACGC